AUCCAGCUGACGAGUCCGGAAUAGGACGAAAUGUCCGUCCUGGAU
rfam:Schistosoma rodhaini strain Burundi genome assembly, scaffold: SROB_contig0003644